AGGGAGAAAAUCCAGGUGGAAUCCUAUUGGCACUCACAGGAACAUCCAGGUGGGAUCCCACUAGGACUCACAGGAACAUCCAGGUGGGAUCCCACUGGGACUCACAGGAACAUCCAGGUGGGAUCAGACUGGGAAUGAGGGAGAAAAUCCAGGUGGAAUCCUAUUGGGACUCACAGGAACAUCCAGAUGGGACGGGGAACAUCUAGAUGGGAUGUGGAACAUCCAGGUGGGACAGGGAACAUCCAGGUGGGAUCCCACCGGGAAUCACAGGAACAUCCAGGUGGGAUCCCACCGGGAAUCACAGGAACAUCCAGGUGGGAUCAGACUGGGAAUGAGGGAGAACAUCCAGGUGGAAUCCCACCGGGACUCACAGGAACAUCCAGGUGGGAUCAGACUGGGA